rnacentral:rRNA from 1 species
AAGAAGCUUGCUUCUUCUGAUGGCGACCGGCGCACGGGUGCGUAACGCGUAUCAAACCUGCCUCAUACUCGGGGAUAGCCUUGCGAAAGUAAGAUUAAUACCCGAUGUUGUUAUGUUGCCGCAUGGUGAUAUAACCAAAGAUUUAUCGGUAUGAGAUGGUGAUGCGCCCGAUUAGGUAGUAGGCGGGGUAACGGCCCACCUAGCCUUCGAUCGGUAGGGGUUCUGAGAGGAAGGUCCCCCAUACUGGAACUGAGACACGGUCCAGACUCCUACGGGAGGCAGCAGUGAGGAAUAUUGGUCAAUGGACGAAAGUCUGAACCAGCCAAGUAGCGUGCAGGAUGACGGCCCUCUGGGUUGUAAACUGCUUUUAGUUGGGAAUAAAAAAGAGGACGUGUCCUCUAUUGUAUGUACCUUCAGAAAAAGGACCGGCUAAUUCCGUGCCAGCAGCCGCGGUAAUACGGAAGGUCCAGGCGUUAUCCGGAUUUAUUGGGUUUAAAGGGAGCGUAGGCGGAUUAUUAAGUCAGUGGUGAAAGACGGUGGCUCAACCAUCGUUAGCCAUUGAAACUGGUAGUCUUGAGUGCAGACAGGGAUGCUGGAACUCGUGGUGUAGCGGUGAAAUGCUUAGAUAUCACGAUGAACUCCGAUCGCGAAGGCAGGUGUCCGGGCUGCAGCUGACGCUGAGGCUCGAAAGUGUGGGUAUCAAACAGGAUUAGAUACCCUAGUAGUCCACACAGUAAACGAUGUAUACUCGCGGUUUGCG